GAUGAAGAACGCAGUGAAAUGCGAUACGUAAUGUGAAUUGCAGAAUUCAGUGAAUCAUCGAGUCUUUGAACGCACAUUGCGCCCCCUGGUAUUCCGGGGGGCAUGCCUGUCCGAGCGUCAUUGCUGCCCUCAAGCACGGCUUGUGUGUUGGGCCUCCGUCCUCCUCCCGGGGGACGGGCCCGAAAGGCAGCGGCGGCACCGCGUCCGGUCCUCGAGCGUAUGGGGCUUUGUCACCCGCUCUGUAGGCCCGGCCGGCGCUUGCCGAUCAACCCAAAUUUUUAUCCAGGUUGACCUCGGAUCAGGUAGGGAUACCCGCUGAACUUAAGCAUAUCAAUAAGCGGAGGA
rnacentral:misc_RNA from 1 species